GUGAGGAAUAUUGGUCAAUGGGCGAGAGCCUGAACCAGCCAAGUCGCGUGAAGGAAGAAGGAUCUAUGGUUCGUAAACUUCUUUUGCAGGGGAAUAAAGUGCGGGACGUGUCCUGUUUUGUAUGUACCCUGAGAAUAAGGAUCGGCUAACUCCGUGCCAGCAGCCGCGGUAAUACGGAGGAUCCGAGCGUUAUCCGGAUUUAUUGGGUUUAAAGGGUGCGUAGGUGGUUUGAUAAGUCAGCGGUGAAAGUUUGCAGCUUAACUGUAAAACUGCCGUUGAAACUGUCGGACUUGAGUGUAAAUGAGGUAGGCGGAAUGCGUGGUGUAGCGGUGAAAUGCAUAGAUAUCACGCAGAACUCCGAUUGCGAAGGCAGCUUACUAAGCUACAACUGACACUGAAGCACGAAAGCGUGGGGAUCAAACAGGAUUAGAAACCCCGGUAGUCC
rnacentral:rRNA from 1 species